GUCUUUUCAAUGACAUUCCUUCAAAUUAAAUGAUACGGAGAAGAUUAACAUGACCCUUGCAUAAAGAUGACACUUGAAGGCAAACACAUAUGGACAAUUUCC